UCGGUCCGGCCCCGUUCCCACCUUCCCCUCAGGGCUGGGGCCGGUCGCCCUGACAGGAGGCGCCUCAGGGGCCUGUCCCGCUGGCUCGAAGUGCCUCGCUUCUCCAUUUUUAACGUUUUCUCAACUAAAAUCUGUUUUCCAGAGAGGCAGCCGCUGCUGGUCGCUUCUCCUUGUCUUUUAAGUCCUUCCUCAUCAUGUCCCACAUCGGCACUGAGGUGAUUUUGCUUGUGAUUGGGCUAAUUGAGCUGGAAUUAAUGGCUUUCUUUUCGCAAGUGGGAGAAUGGCAUUACAUUUUUGCCCCCCACAGCUGGUUAGCAUUUGUUGACUGUCGAUGCUAAUUGGUCAGCAUUUUCCUUAGCUGAUAAAACUCCCAGAGUUAGUGAUGGAUUUACUGGAGAGCUGCGUCCUAUGCUGGGCUCGUCACUAUGAGACUGGAGAGUCCAACGAAGGGCCACCAAGGUGGUGAAGGGGCUGGAGCAUCUGACGUGUGAGGAAAGGCUGGGAGAGCUGGGACUGUUCAUCCUGGGGAAGAGGAGGCUCCAGGGGAAUCUCGUCAGUGUCUAUAGAUACCUGUAGGAAGGGUGCAAAGAGGACGGAGCCGGGCUUUUCUCAGAGGUGCCCAGAGCCAGGACUGAAACACAAACUGAAACACUGGAAGUUCCCUCUGAACAUUGGGAGACGCUUUUUCACUGUGACCAGGGAGGCUGUGGAGUCUCCAUCCUCGGAGAUGUUCAAAAGCCAUCUGGAUUUCCUGGGCCACUGGCUCUAGGUGGCCCUGCUUGAGGUUGGACCAGAUGAGCUCUGGAGGUCCCUCCCAACCUCAACCACUCUGAAGCAUUUUGUGUUCAGGCAUGAACAUGUCACCCUCCCAUUGUAAUAAAAGACAAGUAUUUCUCGAGUUUGUCUUUCUUGUGACAUGACAUUUUUACCACCUACACCUGGUACUGGAUGUACAGCACUGUUCAUGCCGCAUUUGUUUCUCAUCUAGUUAAAGAAUUAUUUUUUUUCUUUGACAUCAGUCCCAUGGGCAAAAUAGUUCUUUUUUUUUUUUUUAUUGACACUCGUAGCUUCACUUCUUUCAUUUCUGAAUUGGUGUCAUCGCCUUUCUCCUUCUGGAGGUGAUAGCCGGUCCCUCAAGACCAACAAAAACGCAAAGGAAGUCAUGCAGAGAAAACACUUUCAGUAUCACCGCUGUUACCUGUAUUUUUAACACACCUCUACGAAAAGCUGCUCGGGAGCUGUUUAAAUUUGUCCCUUUAGGCUCAUUUUGUGAUCCAAGCUAAAGGAUUUGAUGUAGAAGAGACACAAGCCAUGGAUCUAAAGGAGAUGCUGUUGCAAAGCAGCCCUCUGCGCGUGGGACGUGCCGAGGCUGGAGCAGGGAGCAGCAUUGGUGAGAAGCCCUGUGUCCUGGUGGCACCUUGCUGA